CGUUGACACUCCUACGGGAGGCAGCAGUGGGGAAUAUUGCACAAUGGGCGCAAGCCUGAGUGCAGCCAUGCCGCGUGUGUGAAGAAGGCCUUCGGGUUGUAAAGCACUUUCAGUCGUGAGGAAGGUAGUGUAGUUAAUAGCUGCAUUAUUUGACGUUAGCGACAGAAGAAGCACCGGCUAACUCCGUGCCAGCAGCCGCGGUAAUACGGAGGGUGCGAGCGUUAAUCGGAAUUACUGGGCGUAAAGCGCAUGCAGGUGGUUUGUUAAGUCAGAUGUGAAAGCCCGGGGCUCAACCUCGGAAUUGCAUUUGAAACUGGCAGACUAGAGUACUGUAGAGGGGGUAGAAUUUCAGGUGUAGCGGUGAAAUGCGUAGAGAUCUGAAGGAAUACCGGUGGCGAAGGCGGCCCCCUGGACAGAUACUGACACUCAGAUGCGAAAGCGUGGGGAGCAAACAGGAUUAGAUACCCUGGUAG
rnacentral:rRNA from 1 species